GAGUGAAUUUGGUCUGCUACAACCUAUAAUUGAUGGUUUAUAAAACCACACCAGACGAAAUCUGUCGAGUCUACAUACCCUCUCGGAGACCCCCGUGGUAGAUCCGGAAUGUGUUGAAGUAUGGGGACCCCAAAGGUACCGAAGUCCGUAGAAGAAACUGCAGUGCCGACUAGACCAGUCUCGAGAUGUCUCCAGGUCACGACAGGUAGUGGCUGUGUCUCAAUUCAGGGUCUGCAUCCUACGUCGGCCGGAUUCGUCGGCCGGUUACGUCACAGCGCCGCGACUAGGCCUGUACCAAUUCGAAGACUCCUUCAAAUGCGGUCGACGAAUGCGGCCUUCUUUUCGCCUAAAUGAAGGAUGGGUCCGGUGUAUCCUUCAACAGGUAGCAUUUCCCAAGAUGCCUUGCGGGCCGGCCGGCAGAAAAACUUAAAAACAAUGGCGGACAGUGAAGCGGGAGCUGUCGGAGAGGAUUGCGCAUAUAAAUGAACAAAAGAGAAAACCAGGGACUUUAUUAAGCUUAGGGCGGAGAUGGACCACAUGAUCACCGGAGCAAAGUAUUCGGCGGCUGUGGCAUGGAGGGGAAGGUGCCAGCGAUGACCAGCUUCUGGAGCUGAUCAGGGAGGACAUGAGGCUGCAGAGGGCACAGGAGAGAAGGAAGAACUUUGACAGCUUUUUACUUUGCUAGAAAAAAAUGGUUAAGGAAGAUUAAACAUGUACAUAUAAAACAAAUAUCUAAAUAAAAUCAGUUCUGCAUUAAACUCUUGAAUUUUAUUUUGUUUACAAAUGAGAAUUGUUUACUAGAGGGUAUCCGCUGGGUCUUGAAAAGUCUUAAAAGGUGAUAAAUUGGUUUUGGUCAAAUCAAGACCCUUAGAAAGUAUUAAAAACUAUUAUCACAUCUUUGCUCUGGCUCAGCUUGUCUAAAGUAUUUUCUCUGAAUUAGCUCUCCAACAGUCAAGGAAAUGAUUAACCCCCAGAGACCCACGGUUGUAAUAUUACAACAUCAGAUUUAAGUCUACAAAAAUAAACCUUCCCCAUUUUUUUUCUUUUUAAAACCACAUUUACAUUGCUAAUAGGUCCUAUUGUUCAGUUCUGCAACACUAUUGGCUGUUAAAAUGUGUAAAUAGGCCCGUUUAUCUGGCCUCCUAGAACAACAUGUGAAAGGUUAAAAAAAGAUUUUGCAGUUGUUUUCUAAAUUUGGGUUUCUGGGGGUUAAAAAGCUAAAUAAAACGUCGAGCUCCAUCGUUUAAAGUUCCUUCUCCCUUCUGCCCAGCGGUUCCACGGUUGCUAGGCGACGGAACGUUCGCCGAGGGAGUUCAAGAAGGCUAGGCCUGUCCAAAUUCACAGCCGUUAACAUCCGGUCUACCCGGCCGACGGAGGACGCAGCCCACGUCGGCCGGGUGGGCUGGGUCCUUCGAAGGAUGCAGACCCUGAAUUGAGACACAGCCAGUUAU